UUUGAAAUGGUUAAAACCAAAUUCUUGAUUACUUAUAAUAUAUUUUUUAUGCUUCCUUGAAGUAUCUAUCCUCUCUAAAAUCGAAAACUGAAACAAACAAAGGUUAAGUUAAAAUCUUUGUAUUUUAUUCAAAGCUAAUUCAUAACCUGUUUUCGAAGGACCCAAAAGAAGGGGAAGGGAAGGAAAAAGAGAAGGAAUAAGGGAAGGGUAGUCUGAAGAUACAUAUUAAAAAUAUUCAUGAAGAAGUGAAUCAUAAUCAUUUAAAAACACGUCAAAAAAAGAACCACGAACUGUAAGCUUCAAAUAUCACUUCUCUUAUAUUAAAUGAUUCUCUUAUUGUAGAAUUUAAUAUAUUAAUCUUUGUUCGAAUUGUAUAUUUUCUAUAUCAAACCCCAACUGUGUUCCCCUGCUGCUCCCCUCAUCAUUCUCAUUAUCUUAAAUAAUAUUUUUAUCAUUUUUCCUUUUUGCAGAUUAUUCCCUGACAAAAUACAACUUUGAACAAAAUAGAAAUUAUGAACAUUUUUUUAAUUUUAAGAAAUAACAAUUAUCAUUCUAAACUUUUAUGAAAGGAUAUUUGUCUCAUACUAUAUAAACUUUUUUAAAUAUGUUUUUUUAAUAUUUUUGACCAAAUUGUGUACAGCAGUUUUGUUUUCAUUUGAUAUGCAAUCCAUAUUUUUUUCAGAUAGAAUGGAAAAGACUUAAAACAAAGAGUUAAAUAUAUUAGAGCUGAGUAAAUCCGUCCAUCCUCCAUACUGAAGAUACAGGAAUACAGACCGAAUGGCAGAAAUUAUGGAAGAAGAUAAAGUAACCAUCAAAGAAGAAAUCUUUACUGUAGAGGAUACAUGUACUGUGUAUGUAGCUGAAGAAGAUAUAAAAGAGGAAAGUACAGAAAAUCAAGGUGAAAUUGUCAAGAUUAAAGACGAUCCCCUUUUCUCUGAUCAAAAGAGACUUAAGAUGAGUAGGCCGAGAGAUAAAAGAGAUAUGAAUUAUCCCUGUGGAAAAUGUUAUUAUGUGGCAACUAAA